UGUGACCUGUUGAAUUAGGGUGUGUCC
rnacentral:piRNA from 1 species